rnacentral:rRNA from 1 species
GGCGAAUGAAGCGGCAAGAGCCCAAAUUUGAAAUCGGGCAACCGAGUUGUAAUUUGGAGACGGGACACUAGAGAGGAGGAAGGCGAUUAAGUGCCUUGGAACAGGCUGCCGUAGAGGGUGAGAGCCCCGUGAAUCGCUGGAGACCGAUCAAUUAGUGCCCGCCGAAGAGUCGAGUUGUUUGGGAAUGCAGCUCUAAGUGGGUGGUAUAUUCCAUCUAAGGCUAAAUAUUAGCGAGAGACCGAUAGCAAACAAGUACAGUGAUGGAAAGAUGAAAAGAACUUUGGAAAGAGAGUGAAAUAGUACGUGAAAUUGUUGAAAGGGAAGGGUAUUUGAUCCGACAUGGUGUUUAGCAGCGGCCCGUUCCUCGUGGAUGGGUGCACCUGGUUUACACUGGGCCAGCAUCGGUUCUGGGAGCCAUAUACGGGGUUCGUGAAUGUGGCCCUUCGAUUCUGUCGGAGGGUGUUAUAGCGCGGACAUCUUGUGGCUAGCCGGGACCGGGGACUGCGGUGACUUGUCACCAAGGAUGCUGGCAGAACGAGCAAAUACCACCCGUCUUGA